UUAAACCCGUGAGAGGGAAAAUGCUCCCAUUAUUUACCAUCCCUGAGCUAGCAGCAGCUGACCUUCUCAAAAAAGCUGUACAGAAAUUAAAAACCUUCAACAAAGACAUGACUGAUGGACCCUAUCGUCUUCUUUUUCCCGAUGGGUCAGAGGUAGUUGUUGUCCCUGGGACAAAAACGCCAUUCAUUUUAUCCGAGUACAAAAAAGAAAUUGGCAAGGCAUAUUGCCGUAUUACACUUUUUGUCUGCCCGGAUGAGCAUUUUAAAGAAGCAUAUGCUGCUCCGGAUUCCGAUUCCGACUCGGACUCAGAGGUAAAUGUAAGAACCAGGAAGUCUGUCGAAUUCAGUGAGGCUGCUACUGUGCUUUGUGUACACCCAAACACCAAGUCAAGCAAGAAGU